rnacentral:rRNA from 1 species
AACGAACGCUGGCGGCAGGCUUAACACAUGCAAGUCGAGCGCCCCGCAAGGGGAGCGGCAGACGGGUGAGUAACGCGUGGGAACGUACCCUUUGCUACGGAAUAGCGCCGGGAAACUGGAAUUAAUACCGUAUGUGCCCUACGGGGGAAAGAUUUAUCGGCAAAGGAUCGGCCCGCGUUGGCUUAGCUAGUUGGUGGGGUAAUGGCCUACCAAGGCGACGAUCCAUAGCUGGUCUGAGAGGAUGAUCAGCCACAUUGGGACUGAGACACGGCCCAAACUCCUAAGGGAGGCAGCCGGGGGGAAUAUUGGACAAUGGGCGCAAGCCUGAUCCAGCCAUGCCGCGUAAGUGAUGAAGGCCUUAGUGUUGUAAAGCUCUUUCACCGGAGAAGAUAAUGACGGUAUCCGGAGAAGAAGCGCCGGCUAACUUCGUGCCAGCCGCCGCGGUAACAC